rnacentral:rRNA from 1 species
ACAAGCGGUGGAUGAUGUGGAUUAAUUCGAUGCAACACGAAAACCUUACCUACCUUGACAUGUCCGGAAUCCUGCAGAGAUGCGGGAGUGCCGAAAGGGAAUCGGAACACAGGUGCUGCAUGGCUGUCGUCAGCUCGUGUCGUGAGAUGUUGGGUUAAGUCCCGCAACGAGCGCAACCCUUAUCAUUAGUUGCUACGCAAGGGCACUCUGAUGAGACUGCCGGUGACAAACCGGAGGAAGGUGGGGGAUGACGUCAAGUCCUCAUGGCCCUUAUGGGUAGGGCUUCACACGUCAUACAAUGGUCGGUACAGAGGGUUGCCAAGCCGCGAGGUGGAGCCAAUCCCAGAAAGCCGAUCGUAGUCCGGAUUGUUCUCUGCAACUCGAGAGCAUGAAGUCGGAAUCGCUAGUAAUCGCGGAUCAGCAUGUCGCGGUGAAUACGUUCCCGGGUCUU